AUACGUAGGUGGCAAGCGUUGUCCGGAAUUAUUGGGCGUAAAGCGCGCGCAGGCGGUCCUUUAAGUCUGAUGUGAAAGCCCACGGCUCAACCGUGGAGGGUCAUUGGAAACUGGGGGACUUGAGUGCAGAAGAGGAAAGUGGAAUUCCAAGUGUAGCGGUGAAAUGCGUAGAGAUUUGGAGGAACACCAGUGGCGAAGGCGACUUUCUGGUCUGUAACUGACGCCGAGGCGCGAAAGCGUGGGGAGCAAACAGGAUUAGAUACCCUGGUAGUCCACGCCGUAAACGAUGAGUGCUAAGUGUUAGGGGGUUUCCGCCCCUUAGUGCUGCAGCUAACGCAUUAAGCACUCCGCCUGGGGAGUACGGUCGCAAGACUGAAACUCAAAUGAAUUGACGGGG
rnacentral:rRNA from 1 species